AUUUAAUAUUGAAUUUUAGGUACUUGAUUUUUAAGUUUAAAAGGGAAAUAAGUGAAGAGCUUAUGCGGUCCCGCCACUGUAAUGAGGAGUAUAUUUAUGAAAUUGCCACUUGGAAACAGGGAAGGUGUAAAUAUGCAAUGAAUCAGAGCCAGGAGACCUGCCUAAAAUUUACGGAUAGC
rnacentral:ncRNA from 2 species